rnacentral:rRNA from 1 species
UACCUUCGGGUAUUGAGGAUGGCGGACGGGUGAGUAACGCGUAAGGAACUUGCCUCUUGGUCUGGGACAACUGUUGGAAACGACAGCUAAUACCGGAUAUUAUGAGAUUCUCGCAUGGGAAACUUAUGAAAGCUAUAUGCGCCAAGAGAGAGCCUUGCGUUCCAUUAGCUAGUUGGUGGGGUAACGGCCCACCAAGGCGACGAUGGAUAGCCGGCCUGAGAGGGUGAACGGCCACAAGGGGACUGAGACACGGCCCUUACUCCUACGGGAGGCAGCAGUGGGGAAUAUUGGACAAUGGGCCACAAGCCUGAUCCAGCAAUUCUGUGUGCACGAUGAAGGUCUUCGGAUUGUAAAGUGCUUUCAGUUGGGAAGAAGAAAGUGACGGUACCAACAGAAGAAGCGACGGCUAAAUACGUGCCAGCAGCCGCGGUAAUACGUAUGUCGCAAGCGUUAUCCGGAUUUAUUGGGCGUAAAGCGCGUCUAGGCGGAAAAAUAAGUCUGAUGUUAAAAUGCGGGGCUCAACUCCGUAUUGCGUUGGAAACUGUUUUUCUAGAGUACUGGAGAGGUGGGCGGAACUACAAGUGUAGAGGUGAAAUUCGUAGAUAUUUGUAGGAAUGCCGAUGGAGAAGUCAGCUCACUGGACAGAUACUGACGCUAAAGCGCGAAAGCGUGGGGAGCAAACAGGAUUAGAUACCCUGGUAGUCCACGCCGUAAACGAUGAUCACU